AACGAACGCUGGCGGCAUGCCUAACACAUGCAAGUCGAACGAGACCUUCGGGUCUAGUGGCUCAUGGGUGCGUAACGCGGGGGAAGCUGCCUUUAGGCUUGGAAUAACUCAGUGAAAUGUGAGCUAAUACAGGAUGAUUUCCUCUGAUCAAAGAUUUGUCGUCUGUGGUUGAGCGGGCGUUGGUUUAGCCAGUUGGUGUGGUAAAGGCCUACCAAGGCGACGAUCCAUAGCUGGUCAGAGAGGAUGAUCCGCCACACUGGGGCUGAGACACGGCCCAGACUACUACACGAGGCGGCAGUGCCUAAUAUAGCCCUAUCGCCUGAAGCAUGAACCCGCUAUGCUGCGUAAGCGAUUAUGGUCUGAGAGUAAUAAAGCUCUUUUACCCGACAUGAUACUGACGGUAUCGAGAGAAUAAGCUCCGGCUAACUUCGUG
rnacentral:rRNA from 1 species